UUGUAAACCUCUUUCAGUAGGGAACAAGGCCAGUGUUUAACUGGUUGAGGGUACUUGCAGAAGAAGCGCCGGCUAACUACGUGCCAGCAGCCGCGGUAAUACGUAGGGCGCAAGCGUUAUCCGGAAUUAUUGGGCGUAAAGAGCUCGUAGGCGGUUUGUCGCGUCUGCCGUGAAAGUCCGGGGCUCAACCCCGGAUCUGCGGUGGGUACGGGCAGACUAGAGUGAUGUAGGGGAGACUGGAAUUCCUGGUGUAGCGGUGAAAUGCGCAGAUAUCAGGAGGAACACCGAUGGCGAAGGCAGGUCUCUGGGCAUUAACUGACGCUGAGGAGCGAAAGCAUGGGGAGCGAACAGGAUUAGAUACCCUGGUAGUCCAUGCCGUAAACGUUGGGCACUAGGUGUGGGGGACAUUCCACGUUUUCCGCGCCGUAGCUAACGCAUUAAGUGCCCCGCCUGGGGAGUACGNNNNNNNGGCUAAAACUCAAAGGAAUUGACGGGGGCC
rnacentral:rRNA from 1 species